UUCCGGUUGAUCCUGCCGGAGGCCAUUGCUAUUGGAGUCCGAUUUAGCCAUGCUAGUCGCGCGGGUUAGACCCGCGGCAUAUAGCUCAGUAACACGUGGCCAAACUACCCUAUGGACAGGGACAACCUCGGGAAACUGAGGCCAAUCCCUGAUACAGCUCUCAUGCUGGAGUGCAGAGAGUUGGAAACGCUCCGGCGCCAUAGGAUGUGGCUGCGGCCGAUUAGGUAGAUGGUGGGGUAACGGCCCACCAUGCCAAUAAUCGGUACGGGUCAUGAGAGUGAGAGCCCGGAGACGGUAUCUGAGACAAGAUACCGGGCCCUACGGGGCGCAGCAGGCGCGAAACCUUUACACUGCACGACAGUGCGAUAAGGGGACUCCAAGUGCGAGGGCAUAUAGCCCUCGCUUUUCUGUACCGUAGGGAGGUACAGGAACAAGUGCUGGGCAAGACCGGUGCCAGCCGCCGCGGU
rnacentral:rRNA from 1 species